rnacentral:rRNA from 1 species
UACGGAAGGGGCAAGCGUUGUUCGGAAUCAUUGGGCGUAAAGGGCGCGUAGGCGGUUCUGUAUGUCUACCGUGAAAGCGUACGGCUCAACCGUAUGUUGUCGGUGGAAACUGCAGGACUUGAGGCUGGGAGGGGAUGGUGGAAUUCCCUGUGUAGCGGUGAAAUGCGUAGAGAUGGGGGAGAACACUCGUGGCGAAGGCGGCCAGCUAGACCAGUUCUGACACUGAGGCGCGACAGCGUGGGGAGCAAACAGG